CCUACGGGUGGCUGCAGUGAGGAAUAUUGGUCAAUGGGCGCGAGCCUGAACCAGCCAAGUCGCGUGAGGGAUGAAGGUUCUAUGGAUUGUAAACCUCUUUUAUAAGGGAAUAAAGUGUGGGACGUGUCCUAUUUUGUAUGUACCUUAUGAAUAAGGAUCGGCUAACUCCGUGCCAGCAGCCGCGGUAAUACGGAGGAUCCGAGCGUUAUCCGGAUUUAUUGGGUUUAAAGGGUGCGUAGGCGGGCUUUUAAGUCAGGGGUGAAAGUCUGUGGCUCAACCAUGGAAUUGCCGUUGAAACUGGGAGGCUUGAGUAUGUUUGAGGCAGGCGGAAUGCGUGGUGUAGCGGUGAAAUGCUUAGAUAUCACGCAGAACCCCGAUUGCGAAGGCAGCCUGCCAAGCCAUGACUGACGCUGAUGCACGAAAGCGUGGGGAUCAAACAGGAUUAGAUACCCGAGUAGUC
rnacentral:rRNA from 1 species